rnacentral:rRNA from 1 species
GACGAACGCUGGCGGCGUGCCUAAUACAUGCAAGUAGAACGCUGAAGCGAGGAGCUUGCUCUUCUUGGAUGAGUUGCGAACGGGUGAGUAACGCGUAGGUAACCUGCCUGGUAGCGGGGGAUAACUAUUGGAAACGAUAGCUAAUACCGCAUAAAAUGGAUUAUCGCAUGAUAAUCCAUUGAAAGGUGCAAAUGCAUCACUACCAGAUGGACCUGCGUUGUAUUAGCUAGUUGGUGGGGUAACGGCUCACCAAGGCGACGAUACAUAGCCGACCUGAGAGGGUGAUCGGCCACACUGGGACUGAGACACGGCCCAGACUCCUACGGGAGGCAGCAGUAGGGAAUCUUCGGCAAUGGACGGAAGUCUGACCGAGAAACGCCGCGUGAGUGAAGAAGGUUUUCGGAUCGUAAAGCUCUGUUGUAAGAGAAGAACGAGUGUGAGAGUGGAAAGUUCACACUGUGACGGUAUCUUACCAGAAAGGGACGGCUAACUACGUG